GCUUACCAUGCAGUCGAGGGGCAGCAUUUCAGUUUGCUUGCAAACUGGAGAUGGCGACCGGCGCACGGGUGAGUAACACGUAUCCAACCUGCCGAUAACUCGGGGAUAGCCUUUCGAAAGAAAGAUUAAUACCCGAUGGUAUAAUUAGACCGCAUGGUCUUGUUAUUAAAGAAUUUCGGUUAUCGAUGGGGAUGCGUUCCAUUAGGCAGUUGGUGAGGUAACGGCUCACCAAACCUUCGAUGGAUAGGGGUUCUGAGAGGAAGGUCCCCCACAUUGGAACUGAGACACGGUCCAAACUCCUACGGGAGGCAGCAGUGAGGAAUAUUGGUCAAUGGGCGCAGGCCUGAACCAGCCAAGUAGCGUGAAGGAUGACUGCCCUAUGGGUUGUAAACUUCUUUUAUAUGGGAAUAAAGUUUUCCACGUGUGGAAUUUUGUAUGUACCAUAUGAAUAAGGAUCGGCUAACUCCGUGCCAGCAGCCGCGGUAAUACGGAGGAUCCGAGCGUUAUCCGGAUUUAUUGGGUUUAAAGGGAGCGUAGGUGGACAGUUAAGUCAGUUGUGAAAGUUUGCGGCUCAACCGUAAAAUUGCAGUUGAUACUGGCUGUCUUGAGUACAGUAGAGGUGGGCGGAAUUCGUGGUGUAGCGGUGAAAUGCUUAGAUAUCACGAAGAACUCCGAUUGCGAAGGCAGCUCACUGGACUGCAACUGACACUGAUGCUCGAAAGUGUGGGUAUCAAACAGGAUUAGAUACCCUGGUAGUCCACACAGUAAACGAUGAAUACUCGCUGUUUGCGAUAUACAGUAAGCGGCCAAGCGAAAGCAUUAAGUAUUCCACCUGGGGAGUACGCCGGCAACGGUGAAACUCAAAGGAAUUGACGG
rnacentral:rRNA from 1 species